rnacentral:rRNA from 1 species
GAUGAACGCUGGCGGCGUGCCUAAUACAUGCAAGUCGAGCGAACGGACGAGAAGCUUGCUUCUCUGAUGUUAGCGGCGGACGGGUGAGUAACACGUGGAUAACCUACCUAUAAGACUGGGAUAACUUCGGGAAACCGUAGCUAAUACCGGAUAAUAUUUUGAACCGCAUGGUUCAAAAGUGAAAGAUGGUCUUGCUGUCACUUAUAGAUGGAUCCCCGCUUCAUUAGCUAGUUGGUAAGGUAACGGCUUACCAAGGCAACUAUGCAUACCCGACCUGAGAGGGUGAUGGCCCACACUGGAACUGAGACACGGCCCAGACUCCUCGGGGAGGCGGCAGUAGGGAAUCUUCCGCAAUGGGCGAAAGCCUGACGGGGAAACGCCGCGUGAGUGAUGAAGGUCUUCGGAUCGUAAAACUCUGUGAUUAGGGAAGAACAUAUGUGUAAGUAACUGUGCACAUCGUGACGGUACCUAAUCAGAAAGCCACGGCUAACUACGUG